rnacentral:misc_RNA from 1 species
ACUUGAAUGCGCCAACG